rnacentral:tRNA from 2 species
CGGGGCGUGGCGCAGCCAGGUAGCGCGCAUCGUUCGGGACGAUGAGGUCGGAGGUUCAAAUCCUCUCGCCCCGACCA